AGUGAACGCUGGCGGUAGGCCUAACACAUGCAAGUCGAACGGCAGCACAGUAAGAGCUUGCUCUUACGGGUGGCGAGUGGCGGACGGGUGAGGAAUACAUCGGAAUCUACUUUUUCGUGGGGGAUAACGUAGGGAGACUUACGCUAAUACCGCAUACGACCUACGGGUGAAAGCAGGGGAUCUUCGGACCUUGCGCGAUUGAAUGAGCCGAUGUCGGAUUAGCUAGUUGGCGGGGUAAAGGCCCACCAAGGCGACGAUCCGUAGCUGGUCUGAGGGGAUGAUCAGCCACACUGGAACUGAGACACGGUCCAGACUCCUACGGGAGGCAGCAGUGGGGAAUAUUGGACAAUGGGCGCAAGCCUGAUCCAGCCAUACCGCGUGGGUGAAGAAGGCCUUCGGGUUGUAAAGCCCUUUUGUUGGGAAAGAAAAGCAGCGGGUUAAUACCCCGCUGUUCUGACGGUACCCAAAGAAUAAGCACCGGCUAACUUCGUG
rnacentral:rRNA from 1 species